UGGGGAAUAUUGGACAAUGGGCGCAAGCCUGAUCCAGCCAUGCCGCGUGAGUGAUGAAGGCCCUAGGGUUGUAAAGCUCUUUCACCGGUGAAGAUAAUGACGGUAACCGGAGAAGAAGCCCCGGCUAACUUCGUGCCAGCAGCCGCGGUAAUACGAAGGGGGCUAGCGUUGUUCGGAUUUACUGGGCGUAAAGCGCACGUAGGCGGACUUUUAAGUCAGGGGUGAAAUCCCGGGGCUCAACCCCGGAACUGCCUUUGAUACUGGAAGUCUUGAGUAUGGUAGAGGUGAGUGGAAUUCCGGGUGUAGGGGUGAAAUUCGUAGAUAUUCGGAGGAACACCAGUGGCGAAGGCGGCUCACUGGACCAUUACUGACGCUGAGGUGCGAAAGGGUGGGGAGCAAACAGG
rnacentral:rRNA from 1 species